UCUUGUAAUAAACUAACAAUGGACAUGGACAUAGCUAUGUAUUUGAAAGUGUUUCUCGUAUUUUUUGUGGCCCUUUUGUGUAUCAAGGCGCUCUCUUUGGCAAUAAUGCUACCACGCAAAAUGAGACAAACGCAUAAAGUAAUGGCUAAUGUAAUUGCAAACGCCGAAAAGGAAUUUAAAAGACUGGAGCAGAACGCUGACAAAGAGAGCAACAACAACGACAACAAGAAG